rnacentral:rRNA from 1 species
GACGAACGCUGGCGGCGUGCUUAACACAUGCAAGUCGAGCGAUGAAGUUUCCUUCGGGAAAUGGAUUAGCGGCGGACGGGUGAGUAACACGUGGGUAACCUGCCUCAUAGAGGGGAAUAGCCUUUCGAAAGGAAGAUUAAUACCGCAUAAGAUUGUAAUGUCGCAUGACAUAGCAAUUAAAGGAGCAAUCCGCUAUGAGAUGGACCCGCGUCGCAUUAGCUAGUUGGUGAGGUAACGGCUCACCAAGGCGACGAUGCGUAGCCGACCUGAGAGGGUGAUCGGCCACAUUGGGACUGAGACACGGCCCAGACUCCUACGGGAGGCAGCAGUGGGGAAUAUUGCACAAUGGGGGAAACCCUGAUGCAGCAACGCCGCGUGAGUGAUGACGGUCUUCGGAUUGUAAAGCUCUGUCUUUAGGGACGAUAAUGACGGUACCUAAGGAGGAAGCCACGGCUAACUACGUGCCAGCAGCCGCGGUAAACUGU